GACAGCGGCCGGCGCUCACCGCGCACCCUGCGACCUCGCCGACGCCAUCUUGCCGGAGCGCGCCGCAUUCACGCCGGCCCCUCCGGCGGCCGGGCGAGCGUUACCAUGGCAACAGGCGCGCGCGGCCCACGGGGACGCGCCCCAUUCGCCGCGCCUAGAGUGAGGCUGCGCCCCCCACCCCAACUCGCACACCCCGGCGGCGGCGGCCCGGAGGCUAAGCGGGUGCGGCUCCUGAAAUCCCGGGAUUUUUCUUGAAUGGGAUGAGAGAGCCGGGCGGAGGAUGCUCGGGCUCGAGGGCAGCCGAGGUCUCCUGAGGAGCAGGGUUCGUCUGAGGAUAGGGGCUCCUGCUGGCGCCCUCAGGGUUAACCGGCGAGCGGUCCCUGCCUGUGGAUGCUGCUUACGCUCCCACAGGAUGGAGGAGCCCCUCUUGUUUCCGAUCUGUAUACCCGGAAACGGGUAAUUGAAAUGCAUCAGGAAUUAUCUAAAAUAGCUGUUAGCAGGCAGCAUACUCAAGAAUCAGAAAAGAAGAAGAAAAAAAGCCGGUUGGAAGGAGGAGCCAAGCCUUUUGUUUCAAGCCAGUUAACUCAAAAAAGGAAGAAAUAUUAAUCAGCAUGAGUGAACAAACGUUUAGGCACCUGAUCUUACAUUAAACAGAUUUUUUAUUAGCUACUGGUCUAAAAAUAUUUCUUGAAAUCACCAUUUUACAUCUUUAUUGUGAAUAAACUCCAUUUGAUUUUAUG